rnacentral:rRNA from 1 species
UUCGCCCUUAGAGUUUGAUCCUGGCUCAGGACGAACGCUGGCGGCGCGCCUAACACAUGCAAGUCGAACGAGAGAUGAGGAGCUUGCUCUUCAAAUCGAGUGGCGAACGGGUGAGUAACGCGCGAGGAACCUGCCUCAAAGAGGGGGACAACAGUUGGAAACGACUGCUAAUACCGCAUAAGCCCACGGCUCGGCAUCGAGCAGAGGGAAAAGGAGCAAUCCGCUUUGAGAUGGCCUCGCGUCCGAUUAGCUAGUUGGUGAGGUAACGGCCCACCAAGGCGACGAUCGGUAGCCGGACUGAGAGGUUGAACGGCCACAUUGGGACUGAGACACGGCCCAGACUCCUACGGGAGGCAGCAGUGGGGAAUAUUGCACAAUGGGGGAAACCCUGAUGCAGCGACGCCGCGUGGAGGAAGAAGGUCUUCGGAUUGUAAACUCCUGUUGUUGAGGAAGAUAAUGACGGUACUCAACAAGGAAGUGACGGCUAACUACGUGCCAGCAGCCGCGGUAAAACGUAGGUCACAAGCGUUGUCCGGAAUUACUGGGUGUAAAGGGAGCGCAGGCGGGAGAACAAGUUGGAAGUGAAAUCCAUGGGCUCAACCCAUGAACUGCUUUCAAAACUGUUUUUCUUGAGUAGUGCAGAGGUAGGCGGAAUUCCCGGUGUAGCGGUGGAAUGCGUAGAUAUCGGGAGGAGCACCAGUGGCGAAGGCGGCCUACUGGGCACCAACUGACGCUGAGGCUCGAAAGUGUGGGUAGCAAACAGGAUUAGAUACCCUGGUAGUCCACACCGUAAACGAUGAUUACUAGGUGUUGGAGGAUUGACCCCUUCAGUGCCGCAGUUAACACAAUAAGUAAUCCACCUGGGGAGUACGACCGCAAGGUUGAAACUCAAAGGAAUUGACGGGGGCCCGCACAAGCAGUGGAGUAUGUGGUUUAAUUCGACGCAACGCGAAGAACCUUACCAAGUCUUGACAUCCCUUGACGAUACUGGAAACAGUAUUUCUCUUCGGAGCAAGGAGACAGGUGGUGCAUGGUUGUCGUCAGCUCGUGUCGUGAGAUGUUGGGUUAAGUCCCGCAACGAGCGCAACCCUUAUUGCCAGUUACUACGUUAAGAGGACUCUGGCGAGACUGCCGUUGACAAAAUGGAGGAAGGUGGGGAUGACGUCAAAUCAUCAUGCCCCUUAUGACCAGGGCUACACACGUGCUACAAUGGCGUAAACAAAGGGAAGCAGAGCCGCGAGGCCGAGCAAAUCUCAAAAAUAACGUCUCAGUUCGGAUUGUAGUCUGCAACUCGACUACAUGAAGCUGGAAUCGCUAGUAAUCGCAGAUCAGAAUGCUGCGGUGAAUACGUUCCCGGGUCUUGCACACACCGCCCGUCA